rnacentral:rRNA from 1 species
UGGAAUUGGUCAGGCCUAACACAUGCAAGUCGAGCGGGGAAAGGUAGCUUGCUACCUGACCUAGCGGCGGACGGGUGAGUAAUGCUUAGGAAUCUGCCUAUUAGUGGGGGACAACAUUCCGAAAGGAAUGCUAAUACCGCAUACGCCCUACGGGGGAAAGCAGGGGAUCUUCGGACCUUGCGCUAAUAGAUGAGCCUAAGUCAGAUUAGCUAGUUGGUGGGGUAAAGGCCUACCAAGGCGACGAUCUGUAGCGGGUCUGAGAGGAUGAUCCGCCACACUGGGACUGAGACACGGCCCAGACUCCUACGGGAGGCAGCAGUGGGGAAUAUUGGACAAUGGGCGAAAGCCUGAUCCAGCCAUGCCGCGUGUGUGAAGAAGGCCUUUUGGUUGUAAAGCACUUUAAGCGAGGAGGAGGCUACUUAGAUUAAUACUCUAGGAUAGUGGACGUUACUCGCAGAAUAAGCACCGGCUAACUCUGUGCCAGCAGCCGCGGUAAUACAGAGGGUGCGAGCGUUAAUCGGAUUUACUGGGCGUAAAGCGUGCGUAGGCGGCUUCUUAAGUCGGAUGUGAAAUCCCUGAGCUUAACUUAGGAAUUGCAUUCGAUACUGGGAAGCUAGAGUAUGGGAGAGGAUGGUAGAAUUCCAGGUGUAGCGGUGAAAUGCGUAGAGAUCUGGAGGAAUACCGAUGGCGAAGGCAGCCAUCUGGCCUAAUACUGACGCUGAGGUACGAAAGCAUGGGGAGCAAACAGGAUUAGAUACCCUGGUAGUCCAUGCCGUAAACGAUGUCUACUAGCCGUUGGGGCCUUUGAGGCUUUAGUGGCGCAGCUAACGCGAUAAGUAGACCGCCUGGGGAGUACGGUCGCAA